rnacentral:snRNA from 1 species
AUCUUUGUGCUCGGGCAUGUACGCUCACCAGUGAAGUUCCGACUGAGGUAGCGUCUUUUGCUGAUUGCAAAUUAAUUUCCGACUCGUUUGGUUGCUUCGGCUUCCAGCAAUUUUUGGAAACCCCCUUCCACCUCCCCCUCUUUCGUAUCUGAGG